UACAAGGUCGUCAGCAGUGUUCGGUGAUUCAUUGGGCGUAAAGGGUGCGUAGGUGGCGCGGUAAGUCGGGUGUGAAAUCUCGGAGCUUAACUCCGAAAUUGCAUUCGAUACUGCCGUGCUUGAGGACUGGAGAGGAGACUGGAAUUCAUGGUGUAGCGGUGGAAUGCGUAGAGAUCCGGAGGAAGACCGGUGGCGAAGGCGGUCUGCUGGGCAGUUUCUGGACACUGAUGCGCGACAGCGUGGGGAGCAAACAGG
rnacentral:rRNA from 1 species